GACGAACGCUGGCGGCGUGCUUAACACAUGCAAGUCGAGCGGUAAGGCCCUUUCGGGGGUACACGAGCGGCGAACGGGUGAGUAACACGUGGGUGACCUGCCCUCAGCUCUGGGAUAAGCCUGGGAAACCGGGUCUAAUACCGGAUAUGACUCCAUGACGCAUGUUGUGGGGUGGAAAGCCUUGUGCGGCUGAGGAUGGGCCCGCGGCCUAUCAGCUUGUUGGUGGGGUGAUGGCCUACCAAGGCGACGACGGGUAGCCGGCCUGAGAGGGCGACCGGCCACACUGGGACUGAGACACGGCCCAGACUCCUACGGGAGGCAGCAGGUGGGGAAUCUUGCGCAAGUGGGCGAAAGCCUGACGCAGCGACGCCGCGUGAGGGAUGACGGCCUGG
rnacentral:rRNA from 1 species